UCAUUAUCGUAGGGCUUCGGCCCUGUCGAGAUAGAACCCUUGCCUUUUUGAGUACCUUUCGUUUCCUCGGCAGGCUCGCCUGCCAAUGGGGACCACAAAAAACACUUUGCAGUACCUGUAACAGUCUGAACAAACAAACAAAAAAUUAAAACUUUCAACAACGGAUCUCUUGGUUCUGGCAUCGAUGAAGAACGCAGCGAAAUGCGAUAAGUAGUGUGAAUUGCAGAAUUCAGUGAAUCAUCGAAUCUUUGAACGCACAUUGCGCCCUUUGGUAUUCCUUAGGGCAUGCCUGUUCGAGCGUCAUUUAAACCUUCAAGCUAGGCUUGGUGUUGGGUGACUGUCCGCUUCACGGCGGACUCGCCUCAAAAUUAUUGGCGGCCGGUGCAUUGGCUUCGAGCGCAGCAGAAACGCGAACUCGGGCCCGUCGUAUUGGCUCCCAGAAGCUAUCUUCACAAUUUUGACCUCGGAUCAGGUAGGGAUACCCGCUGAACUUAAGCAUAUCAAUAAGCGGAGGA
rnacentral:rRNA from 1 species